AGACGAAGAUUAGAAUGAUUACAUUAGAAGAAAAAGAGAAUGAUGACAUUCAAAUGCAGCUGAAGAUUGUAGCCUGAUUUUCAUACAAAAGAAUGUAUGCCCAAGAAAGACCUGCUGCCACACCGGCACCUCCUCAUUUUAUUGAAAACCGAGUCUUAUUGGAUUUUAACUCGUCAAUGUCUGUCGAUUCAGUGUCGCCAUCUGCGUGAUAACCGAAGUUGGUAAUUCCGAUUGAUUUAUUUUCAACAUUGUUUGCCAACUUCCGGUGACUGCUAGCUCAGUACUUAUUCCCUGGAAUUUUUCGUGCAACUUCCCCGUGAACUUCUGGUACAACGUCAGCCCCGGAGAAUGCAGUACGAAAACAUAACCACGAAUUUUACGUUUCAAGCAGUUAUAUUAGUGCUACAACACUUGUGGAUGGAUCCAGUUGUGUAUUAGACGAACAACUUGACAUUUCCGCUAUGGUUUCUUCAUUAACGAUACUUUAUCGCUGGUUGAUUAUUCCCAUAGUGAUGAUAAAUCUUGUUGCAGCAGAAAAUCUUACACUUCCCUUCAAGAAUAGAAUGAAAGAUGUGCAUUUGAAGUUUGCAGUAUUUCAAUCACCGCCUUUUAACUUGGUUACUUUUAAACCUGACGGAAACUGCACUCAUUCCGGCCCCACUGCAAUUCUUAUAGAUUGGCUUGCGGAAAAACUCAAAUUCACAUUUUCUUACAUGUGCCUCAACCAUGCGAUAAGCGAGAAAUAUGGGAACCCCAUCGGACAUUCUAUUAAUCUCACAUCAAACAAAGAAGUCGACGGAGUAGCAGUAGCUUUUGUACCCACCCUGGAUCGGAAAAAAAAUGUGGAUUUUACUUAUUUCGUUUGGUCGGAAUAUUUUGCAAUGGUAGUGCCUCAACCAGGGGAAGAGACUCGGAUUUUUGCCUUCAUUCGGCCAUUUCAGUCAACGGUGUGGUUGUUCAUCUUCAUAACUAUCGUUGUCAUGGUGACUUUGAUGACUCUUUUCUCGAGAAUUUAUUCGAAGUACAUCACUGUCAAUGUGCUGGCUACCAACAAAGGAUUGACAAUGUUUGGGCGUGCCAGUAAUUAUUCAAUGUACAUCUUCAACAUUAUGACAAAUCAAGGGGGUGCAAUUUCUGGUGAUCGCUUUUCGUUCAGACUUCUAAUUGGAGUGUUGCUGUUAGUCGCCAUGGUCUUGGUUAAUAGUUAUUCCAGCACCAUCGUUUCCUAUCUGACGGUCUCCAAACUGAAACCUCCCAUUAACACAUUCGAAGACCUCGCCGCUAGCGACGACGUCGACCUCCUUGUCAAAAUUGACACUUAUGUUGGACAUGAGAUAUUGGGAGCAAAUUCUGGCGUUCUCAAGACCCUAGCGGACAAGGCUCGGCAGAAUCCUGAUCGCCUCUCGACAGACCAAUUGAAAAUCGAUGCUAAACUAGGAACUGGCCGUUUCGCUUAUGCCUGGCUUCAAACGUACUGCAAGUACUUCGUCAUCAGUCAGUAUAGAAAAGACGGAACUUGCCGUUUUCGUAUGUCCGACCCUCUACCUUUCAAUUUAGGAUUCUGGUCACUUAUUCUACAAAAGGACAGCCAAUACAAGUCAGCAAUUGACAGCGCUUUGAUUGAGCCCUGGGAAACUGGAAUACUAUUGUUCUGGAUGAAAAACGCAAUUCCACGAGCGCCAAAGUGCUUCGCUAAAACAAAACCGAGAGCGAAUUCGGCGGGUCAAAUGGCCAUUAAAUCCCGAGACCUGGUGGCUCCUUUCCUCAUUUUAGGCAUUGGUUUGGGCCUUGCUACGUUUGCCUUUCUAAUGGAAUUAGUUAUUCACUUUAGACGUCGAUUUAAAUUUGUGAACAUGUUUUACAAUUAGUGCGCAAUUUAAAAGACUGACGAUCAAACGGAUGACGGUAGUGGAGCGCUAACUUACAUUUACGCUCUUUUCGUCUAUUAGUUUUGCCUUAUAUUCGGACUAUUUUAGUAUAAUUCAUAUUUAUUUAACAUACUUACGAUAAUAAGUCACAGCAUAAGAGCACAUAUUUCUAUUUUACGUUUCCCUUGAUCUUCGUGUGGCUCAGUUGUAGCUGUAAUAUUCAGAGAAUGAAUACAGAUCAAGAAA
rnacentral:misc_RNA from 1 species